GUACUCACUUCGGUAGCACAUAUAUUAAAAUUGGAAUGAUACAGAGGAGAUUAGCAUGGCCCCCGUACAAGGAUGACAUGCAAAUUCAUGAAGCAUUCCAUAUUUUU